GACGAACGCUGGCGGCGUGCCUAAUACAUGCAAGUCGAGCGAGCGGCGGACGGGUGAGUAAUGUCUGGGAAACUGCCUGAUGGAGGGGGAUAACUACUGGAAACGGUAGCUAAUACCGCAUACCAUCAGAUGUGCCCAGAUGGGAUUAGCUAGUGGGUGGGGUAACGGCUCACCUAGGCGACGAUCCCUAGCUGGUCUGAGAGGAUGACCAGCCCAACUGGAACUGAGACACGGUCCAGACUCCUACGGUAGGCAGCAGUGGGGAAUAUUGCACAAUGUGCGCAAGCCUGAUUCAGCCAUGCCGCGUGUGUGAAGAAGGCCUUCGGGUUGUAAAGCACUGUCAGCGGGGAGGCGUUACCCGCAGAAGAAGCACCGGCUAACUCCGUGCCAGCAGCCGCGGUAAUUC
rnacentral:rRNA from 1 species